rnacentral:rRNA from 1 species
CAGUCGCCACGGUAAUACGGAGGGUGCAAGCGUUAAUCGGAAUUACUGGGCGUAAAGCGCACGCAGGCGGUCUGACAAGUCAGAUGUGAAAUCCCCGGGCUUAACCUGGGAACUGCAUUUGAAACUGUCAGGCUGGAGUCUUGUAGAGGGGGGUGGAAUUCCAGGUGUAGCGGUGAAAUGCGUAGAGAUCUGGAGGAAUACCGGUGGCGAAGGCGGCCCCCUGGACAAAGACUGACGCUCAGGUGCGAAAGCGUGGGGAGCAAACAGGAUUAGAGACCCGAGUAGUCCCUGUCUCUUAUAC